rnacentral:rRNA from 1 species
UUCGCAAUGCCCGAAAGGGUGACGAAGCGACGCCGCGUGAGCGAAGAAGGCCCUAGGGUUGUAAAGCUCUGUCAGGGGUUAAGAAAUGUAAACAGGUUAAUACCCUGUUUAUUUGACAAAAGCCCCAAAGGAAGCCACGGCUAACUCUGUGCCAGCAGCCGCGGUAAUACAGAGGUGGCAAGCGUUGUUCGGUAUUAUUGGGCGUAAAGAGCACGUAGGUGGUUUUGUAAGUCAGAUGUGAAAGCCUUCUGUUCAAAGGAAGAACGGCAUCUGAAACUGCGGAUCUUGAGUGUAGGAGGGGAGAGUGGAACUUCUGGUGGAGCGGUGAAAUGCGUAGAUAUCAGAAGGAACGUCGGCGGCGAAAGCGACUCUCUGGCCUAUUACUGACACUGAGUGUGCGAAAGUUAGGGGAGCAAACGGGAUUAGAUACCCCGGUAGUCCUAACCGUAAACGAUGGGCACUAAGUAGAGGGGUUUU